rnacentral:rRNA from 1 species
UAAGCGUACACGGUGGAUGCCCUGGCAGUCAGAGGCGAUGAAGGACGUGCUAAUCUGCGAAAAGCGUCGGUAAGGUGAUAUGAACCGUUAUAACCGGCGAUGUCCGAAUGGGGAAACCCAGUGUGAUCCGUCACACUAUCGUUAACUGAAUACAUAGGUUAACGAGGCGAACCGGGGGAACUGAAACAUCUAAGUACCCCGAGGAAAAGAAAUCAACCGAGAUUCCCCCAGUAGCGGCGAGCGAACGGGGAGCAG